UACAGAGGGUGCAAGCGUUAAUCGGAAUUACUGGGCGUAAAGCGCGCGUAGGCGGCUGUCUAAGUCGGAUGUGAAAUCCCCGGGCUUAACCUGGGAACUGCGUUCGAUACUGGGCGGCUAGAGUAUGAGAGAGGGAGGUAGAAUUCCACGUGUAGCGGUGAAAUGCGUAGAUAUGUGGAGGAAUACCGGUGGCGAAGGCGGCCUCCUGGCUUAAUACUGACGCUGAGGAACGAAAGCCAGGGGAGCAAACGGG
rnacentral:rRNA from 1 species